UGCGUAAUCAGGGAAUCGAACCCUGGGCUCCCCGACGCUGCUCGAAUGGCAACGGAGAAUUUUACCACUAAACCAAUUACGC
rnacentral:tRNA from 2 species